ensembl:snoRNA
UGGACCAGUGGUGACAACUGGUGACGGAUGAGUCAAGGAUGAUAAAUGUACGUGUGUGAAGCUCUGAGGUCCCA